GUAAGCAAUAGUGUGUGAUCACAAUGUGAGUCACACAUAGUAUAGGUCAGCAAUAGGUGUGAUCACAAUGUGAGUCAUACAUAGUAUAGGUCAGCAAUAGUGUGUGAUCACAAUGUGAGUCAUACAUAGUAUAGGUAAGCAAUAGUGUGUGAUCACAAUGUGAGUCAUACAUAGUAUAGGUAAGCAAUAGUGUGUGAUCACAAUGUGAGUCAUACAUAGUAUAGGUAAGCAAUAGGUGUGAUCACACUGUGAGUCACACAUAGUAUAGGUAAGCAAUAGUGUGUGAUCACAAUGUGAGUCAUACAUAGUAUAGGUCAGCAAUAGUGUGUGAUCACAAUGUGAGUCACACAUAG
ensembl:lncRNA